CGGGUGAGUAACGCGUGAGGAACCUGCCUCAAAGAGGGGGACAACAGUUGGAAACGACUGCUAAUACCGCAUAAGCCCACGGCUCGGCAUCGGGCAGAGGGAAAAGGAGUGAUCCACUUUGAGAUGGCCUCGCGUCCGAUUAGCUAGUUGGUGAGGUAACGGCCCACCAAGGCGACGAUCGGUAGCCGGACUGAGAGGUUGAACGGCCACAUUGGGACUGAGACACGGCCCAG
rnacentral:rRNA from 1 species